GACGAACGCUGGCGGCGUGCUUAACACAUGCAAGUCGAACGGAAAGGCCCUGCUUUUGUUGGGUGCUCGAGUGGCGAACGGGUGAGUAACACGUGAGUAACCUGCCCUUGACUUUGGGAUAACUUCAGGAAACUGGGGCUAAUACCGGAUAGGAGCUCCUGCUGCAUGGUGGGGGUUGGAAAGUUUCGGCGGUUGGGGAUGGACUCGCGGCUUAUCAGCUUGUUGGUGGGGUAGUGGCUUACCAAGGCUUUGACGGGUAGCCGGCCUGAGAGGGUGACCGGCCACAUUGGGACUGAGAUACGGCCCAGACUCCUACGGGAGGCAGCAGUGGGGAAUAGUGCACAAUGGGCGGAAGCCUGAUGCAGCAACGCCGCGUGCGGGAUGACGGCCUUCGGGUUGUAAACCGCUUUCGCCUGUGACGAAGCGUGAGUGACGGUAAUGGGUAAAGAAGCACCGGCUAACUACGUG
rnacentral:rRNA from 1 species